UUGUGUGUCAAGAGAGCAAAGCAAAGCUUUCCUACAAUUUAUUUGUAGUUCUCACUAUUAAGUCUAGCAAAACAUAACACAAUUAAUGGCUUCAAUAAAGAAAAUUGCCACCGGGCAGAGCAGAAUACUUUGCGCCACCCACAGGCAAAUCAUAAACAGUUUUGUCAACGUUAUAGGUGCGAAAACGGCAUCCUUCAUCAGAAAUAUGCCCUGCGUAAUGAACACCCAAACGGCCCUUACCAUUUCGAUAAAACAAAACAAACCUAUGCCCGAUUGGCAGCCGAUUAUUACUCUGGUCAUGGCCAUAAUGAUCUUCGCGAUCCUUUUGGCGAAUCCCUCCUGUAUGAUGCAUCGCACAAAUUCGAUUCCUGCCUGCUUGGCUGGCCAUACCAACUGCUUGGCGGAACGACCAAUGCAGCGCCACAUCGAAAAGCGGAACACUUUCCACAGCAGCUUAAACCAGAAGCCCGACGGUGCAGACCAGAAGCCGGACUUAACCACACAAAAAAACGCAACCAGCAGGAACACAACGAAAAGUUUCUUCAAUGGAAAGUGGAAGCCUCGCUGCGGGAAGGCCAUCGCUGGUGAAGAGAAUUUUCCGUAAUCUUUCGCUCUUCACUGCAGAUCUUCUACUG
rnacentral:lncRNA from 1 species